AGGAAACAUAGGAAUGAACCUGAGACAGGGGAGAAAAUGGAGAGAGGAGGGAUGAGAGCUGGAAGGGGGUCAGAAACACCCAAGCACGGGGUUCAGAUGCACAGCAGGCUCCCUAAGUGUGAGUUGCUGUUUCUGCAAACAGGAGUUGUUCCCUGAGCACCUACUCUCUACCAGGUACAUUUCCAAGCCCUGGGUGUCCAUCAAGUCCUUUAAUCCUCCCAGCAGUGCCAGGGAGGCUUCAUCUGCUCCCCACAUCUCUGCUUCCCCCGCCCCAUGUUCAGAUUCUAAAAAACCAAAAGGGCUCCCUCUAAUUCAUCUCGCCCCCAGAGAGCACUGACUCCCCACGGUGUCCCACUGAGCCCCACUGAGUCCAGUCCACCUCAACUUUCCUGCCUCUGGGAACAGGGUACCCACCCUCUGAGGGCCCCACUUCCCAAAGUUCUUUGUCCUGGCACAGCAGGUGCUGAGUAGCUCCCUGGACCUCUGUUUCCGCAUCUGUAAAAAGCCACUAAUCCUAAUUGCACCUCCUAGGCUGAUUGUGAUGACCCAGGAAGGACCCUUGACCCAGUGUCUGGCCUGUAGUAGGGCUCGCACAAAGGGCUCAAAUGGAAAGCAGCUGCAGAGACAGAGAAUCCGAUUGUGAAGGCACCCGAGACUCCAGGCAGGCGGAAGAGGCAGCGUCUUGGGUGCUGGGCUGGGUAACAGAGGCCAGGGUAUUGACCAGAAACUCCAACAAGCAGGGGACAGCUUGGGGGGUGGGGGGUUGUCUCCCACCCCUUCUUCAGGGUGCUGGCCUAGGAGACAGGGACCCCGCCUCGGGCAUCUCCUGCUUAACCUCAGUUUCUGUGUCCAGACAUGGGCAGGCCAUCCUGACUCUCUUAGCCUUGGUUUCCAUCUCCAAAAUGUGUCCAGUAGUGGCACCUUCCUUCUAGGGAGGGGUUGUGUGGUUAAGGUCUCGGGGCGGGCUCCUCAGUCAAACAGGCUUGGCUUUGAUCCUGCCUCUGCCUCUCACUAACUGUGUGACCUGGAGUAAGCCACCUCCCCUCCCUGUGCCUUGAUUUUCCCAUCUGUGAAAUGGAAACAAUAAUAGAACUAAUCUGCUGGGGAGAUGAACUGAGAAGACUCAGCCUGGUGCCUGGAGCAGAGUAAAGACUAAUGAUUAUUGUUGUCUUUCUUUUUGGAGGCAGAGUCUCACUGUGUUGCCCAGCCUGGAGUGCAGUGGCAGUGGCGCGAUCUCGGCUCACUACAAGCUCCACCUCCCAGGUUCAAUCAUUGACCCUCCAGCCUCAGCCUCCCGAGAAGCUAGGACUAUAGGCUCACACCACCAGGCCCAGCUAAUUUUUUGUAUUUUUAGUAGAGACCAGGUUUCACCAUGUUGACCAGGCUGGUCUUGAACUCCUGGCCUGAAGUGAUCUGCCUGCCUUAGCCUCCCAAAUUGCUGGGAUUCCAGGUGUGAGUCACCGCGUCCAGGCAUCUUUCUUAUUAUUAUUAUCCCAGGAGCUCCACCUGCUAAGGCCCCAGCCUCAGAAAGCCUCCCUUCCCCUGAGUGCUGGUUCAUCUCAACAAUUUCCUCACAUAUUUCUUGAGCAGCAACUAUACCGGUCUUGGCAAAGCCAAGGUUCUAUCUAGGAGAAGAAAGACAUUAAAUGAAGGACCCGUGUGUGAAGGGCUUGGUGAGUCUGGGAUCAAAGAGGCCCAGUAGGGUGUCAGAGGUCACGUAGCCAAGACAUGGCAGAGCUGAGAUGAAACCCCGCAGUGGGACACUGCCCCACUUGCCCCCCGACAGCGCUCUCCAGCCUCCAGGCCUUUGCUCCAGCUCUUCCUUCUGCCCAGACAUUCCAGACCCUGCACCGUCUCAUAUCCACUCUGCUGGAGGAAUGAAGAGAACAGCCCUUGGAGGCCGCAAAGUGUCCUCAAGCCUCAGUUUUCCCAUCUAUGAAAUGGGGAUAGCAUGGGGCUUUCCUCUCGGGCUGCAGAAAGGAUCGAGAAAAGGCUUAUUAUUCACCUAGGGCCUAGCCCUUGGGAACCAGUCCGGAAGGACAGCUGUUAUUAUUGCUAAUGCUGUUCCUAUCACAGUGACAGCGUGUCCCGUUAGGCCUGCAAACCCCUAUACCUCAGUUUUUCCUGUAAUGAAACCUGCCUGCUGAGGCCUCGGUGAGGGCUCAUUUAAUGAUAAUCUUUAGGGAAAAAAAAUACACCCCCCAAGCCGCCUGUGUGGCUGCAGCCCACAGGGGUAACCUGACGCCCCUCGCCUGACCUGGCCCCCAGGUCUUUGUGUGAGUCCUGCCCAGAUUACUGUAUUUGUCCAAACCCAAAGCCAAGGCUGGCAUGAGCUCAAUGCUCUGCAUUGUGCCAGAGCCAGGCCCCCCAGGCCUCAUCCCUCCUCCCGCUGGGGAUCCGGCCCCCAGGAGGUGUCACAGGGGAAAUCGGAAACCCAGCAGGGCCCACUGGGGUGGCCUCCUGGGUGCCAGGCCCUAGGCUUACGCUCCUUGCGUGUUGCCUCAUCAAUCCUUCAUGACCUCACUGUGCAGAAAGGCACAUGCUGUGCCCAUUUUCCAGAUGGAGAGAAUGAGGCCCGGGUAGCCAAAUUGUUGCUACAGUUCAUGCCGGUGGAAGUGGCAGAGCUCAGGUCAGGCUGAAGGAGGACCUGUCCCCAGAAGAGGAACCUGGGAACCCUGGAUCUUCAGCUGGAGCCAGGCAUCUUGGGGAGCAGAGAUGAAGGAAAGCCGAACCAUGUGGCAGGGGGCACCAUGGCUAAGGAUUCCGCCCUGAGUUCAAGUCCAGCUCUGCCACACGCCCUGCACAGAAACCUACUCCUCUCUGAACUUUGCUUUCCUGAACGAAAAAAAUGGGGGAGCAGCUGAGCACGGCAGCUCACGCCUGUAAUCCCAGCACUUUGGGAGGCCGAGGUGGGAAGAUCACUUGAGGUCAGGAGUUUGAGACCAGCCUGACCAACAUGGUGAAACGCUGUCUCUGCUAAAAAGACAAAAUUAGCCAGGCGUGGUGGUGGGCACCUGUAAUCGUAGCUACUCAGGAGGCUGAGGCAGGAGAAUCACUUGAACCUGGGAGGCGGAGGUUGCAGCGAACCCAGAUCGCGACACUGCACUCCAGCAUGGGCAACAGAGCGGGACUCCAUCUAAAAAAUAAGUAAAUAAAUAAAAAGUAACAAUAACAAUAAAUAAAUAAGGGAACAAUAGCUUUUCCUCAGGGGCUGGGAGAGGACUCAGGCCAUAAGGUAGGUGAAACACUUAGCAGGUAGUAAGUGCUCAAUCUACAGGAGCUUAAAAACCCAACCGCAUCCUCCAUGGGGAAGAAUCUGUCUCCUGCCUGCGGGUCUGAGAUUCCAAAACACUGAGGAAAUUUGGCUCCAAUGGGACCUGGUAUUUGGGGAGGGAGUUAAAAAGGAGGGGUGGGGAGCAGUUUUUGGAGAUCACUCUCUCCUAGGAGUUCCCUCCCCUCUUCCCAACUUCAGUUUCUCCAUCUGACCAGGCUCCUGCCCAGCCCCUCCUAGAGAGACUAGUUUCGGGGCUGAUUUUGUUGUUUGCUGUUUUUUUCACAUCUGCACAUACAAUCACUCAGUCUAGUGUGUCUCACAUGCCCGCAUGGAGCCACUGUGUGUGCACUGUUGUGGUUUUUCAUUUUUACUUUUCUGCAAAAGCCUUCUUUUUUUCCCUUGGUGACCAUUGAGAAUGGAUUCUUACCUAUUUUUCUGUAAGAAUGAAAAUCCCAUACAGACUGUCUGCCCGGACAAAGGGUUUCUUUAUCUGUCAUUCCUUUUACAAAUCAGAAUCACAUUGGGCAUCCUUUUCUGCAUCUUGUAUUUUUCACUCAAGAAUACCCACACAAGGCCAGGAGCGGUGGCCCAUACCUGUAAUCCCAGCAUUUUGGGAGGCUGAGGUGGGCGGAUCACUUGUGGCCAGAAGCUUGAGACCAGCCUGGCCAACAUGGUGAAACCCAGUCCUCUACCAAAAAUACAAAAAUUAGCUGGGCAUGGUGUCGCACGUCUGUAAUCCCAGCUAUUCAGGAGGCUGAGGCACAGGAAUCGCUUGAACCCGGGAGGCAGAGGUUGCAGUGAGCCGAGAUCAUGCCACUGCACUCCAGCCUGGGUGACAGAGCGAGACAGUCUCUCAAAAAAAAAAAAAAAAAAAUAUAUAUAUAUAUACACACACAUACACACACACACACACACACACACACACGAAACAAGCCCUUGUAUACCAAUUACCAUAGCAGCACUAGUCACAGUAGCCAAAAGGUGGAAACAACCCAACUGUCCAUCAGUCGAUGAAUAGAUAUGCAAAAUGUGAUCUAGCCAUACAACAGUAUUUGAUCAUUUUUUAAAAAUGAAGUACUGGUGGGGCGCAGUGGCUCACGCCCGUAAUCCCAGUACUUUGGGAGGUCAGGGCAGGUGAUCACCCGAGGUCAGGAGUUCGAGACCAGCCUGGCCAACAUGGUGAAACCCCGUCUCUACUAAAAAUACAAAAAUUAGCUAGACGUGGUGGCACAUGCCUGUAAUCCCAGCUACUCGGGAGGCUGAGGCAGGAGAAUCACUUGAACCCGGGAGAUGGAGGUUGCAGUGAGCUGAGAUCAUCCCACUGCACUCCAGCCUGGGCGACAGAGUGAGACUCCAUCUCAAAAAAAUUAAAAUUAAAAAUUAAAAAAAAAUGAAGUACUGAUGCAUGCCACAACGUGGAAGAACCUCAAAAACAUUAGGCUAAUUGAAAGAAGUUAGACACAAAAGGUCAUAUAUUGUAUGAUACUGUUUAUAUGAAGUCUCCAGUAUAGAUAAACCCAUAGAGACAGAAAGAAGACUGACGGUUGCCAGGAACUGGGGGGAGGCAGGAAUGAGGAGUGACUGUUUAAUGGGUACAUGGUCUCCUUUGGGUGAUUGAAAAUGUUUUGGGGCCUAGCACAGUGACUCAUGCCUGUAAUCCCAGCACUUUGGGAGGCCGAGGCAGGCAGAUCACUUGAGCCCAGGAGUUUGAGACCAGCCUGGGCAGCAUGACAAAACCGCACCUCUACAAAAAAUACAAAAAAUUAGCUGGGCGUGGCAGCAUGUGCAUUUAGUCCCAGCUAUCUAGGAGGCUGAGGUGGGAGGAUCACCUGAGCCUGGGGAGGUUGAGGCUGCCCUAAGCUGAGAUCACACCACUGUACUCCAG
rnacentral:lncRNA from 1 species